rnacentral:rRNA from 1 species
UAAUACGAAGGGGGCAAGCGUUGUUCGGAAUUAUUGGGCGUAAAGCGUAUGUAGGUGGUCUUUCAAGUCAGACGUGUAAGCCCUCGGCUCAACCGAGGAAUUGCGUUUGAAACUGAUUGACUUGAGUAUAGGAGAGGAAAGCGGAAUUCCCAGUGUAGCGGUGAAAUGCGUUGAUAUUGGGAAGAACACCGGUGGCGAAGGCGGCUUUCUGGCCUAUUACUGACACUGAGAUACGAAAGCUAGGGGAGCAAAGGGGAUUAGAUACCCCCGUAGUCCUAGCUGUAAACGAUGGGCACUAGGUGCGGGAGGUAUUGAUCCCUUCUGUGCCGCAGCUAACGCAUUAAGUGCCCCGCCUGGGGAGUACGGUCGCAAGGCUG